rnacentral:lncRNA from 1 species
UCACGGGGUCAAAGGGCACCACGGGGAUAGAUGGUGACGUGAAAAGGAAACCGAGCGCUUUUUACAGCGGCCCCUGGCGGUAGGAGGACUCUAGGCUCUACCGCCGGGUAGAGUGAUCCGGAAGGGGACUUCGGCAGGAGCUGAGGGAAGAAGGCGGAGUGCCAAGAGAGGGACGCCAAGUGGCUCUUUUAGGAUUGCCGUGUAUCUGUUCUGAUUUGCCACUGUCCUCGGGUGAGGAAGUGAAGCUUAAGGUCUUCAGUUUCUCAGGACAGAUAUGUGUGGAGAGAACUCACCAGACUGGGAAGUUACUGACCUGGGAACUUCUCUCAGCAGCACUUAUCAUCUCUGCCUUAGUAUUUAUAAGAAUUUCAUUUUGGGGGACGCCUAGGUGGCUCAGUUGGCUAAGUGUCUGCCUUCGGCUCAGGUCAUGAUCUUGGGGUCCUGGGGUGGGCUCUCUGCUCAGCGGGGAGGCUGCUUCUCCCUCUCCUUCUGCCCUUCC